UACGUAGGGUGCGAGCGUUGUCCGGAAUUAUUGGGCGUAAAGAGCUUGUAGGCGGUUUGUCGCGUCUGCCGUGAAAACUCGAGGCUCAACCUCGAGACGCCGGUGGAAACCAUCAGGCUAGAGUCCGGAAGAGGAGAGUGGAAUUCCUGGUGUAGCGGUGAAAUGCGCAGAUAUCAGGAAGAACACCCGUGGCGAAGGCGGCUCUCUGGGACGGUACUGACGCUGAGACGCGAAAGCGUGGGGAGCGAACAGG
rnacentral:rRNA from 1 species